CUAUACAUGCAAGUCGAGGGGUAACGCUUCGGGCGACGACCGGCGAAUGGGUGCGUAACGCGUAUACAACCUGCCCUUCACAGGUGGAUAGCUCUUCGAAAGGGGAAUUAAUACACCGUAUUUUCAGUAUAUCACAUGGUUUACUGAAGAAAGCCUUGGUGGUGAAGGAGGGGUAUGCGUUCCAUUAGUUAGUUGGUAAGGUAACGGCUUACCAAGGCGAUGAUGGAUAGGGGUUCUGAGAGGAAGAUCCCCCACACCGGAACUGAGACACGGUCCGGACUCCUACGGGAGGCAGCAGUAGGGAAUCUUGGUCAAUGGGCGAGAGCCUGAACCAGCCAUGCCGCGUGCGGGAAGACGGCACUCGUUGUUGUAAACCGCUUUUAUAUACCAAGAAAAGGCUCUUGCGAGAGCAAUUGACGGUAGUAUAUGAAUAAGCACCGGCUAACUCCGUGCCAGCAGCCGCGGUAAUACGGAGGGUGCAAGCGUUGUCCGGAAUUAUUGGGCUUAAAGGGUGCGUAGGCGGCCAGAUAAGUCAGUAUUGAAAGGUUGCGGCUUGACCGUGAGAGUGGUAUUGAAACUGUCUGGCUUGAGUGUUAGGGAAGGAGCAGGAAUCGGCGGUGUAGCGGUGAAAUGCAUAGAUAUCGUCGAGAAGGUCGAUAGCGAAAGCAUGUUCCUGUCUAACAACUGACGCUGAGGCACGAAAGUAUGGGUAGCGAACGGGAUUAGAUACCCCGGUAGUCCAUACCGUAAACGAUGAUGACUGGAUGGGUGAUUUUCGGAUUGCCUGUUUCAGCGAAAGCAUUAAGUCAUCCGCCUGGGGAGUACGUCGGCAACGAUGAAACUCAAAUGAAUUGACGG
rnacentral:rRNA from 1 species